AGAUGUGGCUAAGGGAGCUGGCUGUGACAUCUGUCACCUCAUCAAUUGCCAGAGUUGACUAGGCUGAUCUGACUGGCCAGGUGGGUGUUCCCUUCUCCCAGCCCUCUAUUUUCAUCCCUCUCAUUGCCACACGUGCUCCAGAGACAAAGACCAUCGCUCCAGGGUCACUGUGCUCAGAUGCUGUAGCCUUCAAACAAAUUCUCAAGAUGUGG
rnacentral:sRNA from 1 species